rnacentral:tRNA from 2 species
GCGGGCGUGGUGGAAUUGGUAGACACGCUAGACUUAGGAUCUAGUGCCGCAAGGUGUGAGAGUUCGAGUCUCUCCGCCCGCACUA